UCCGGCCAGAUCACGUUGAAACCACGGUGCCCGUGCGAUCACCUAAGUUAAGCAAUGUCGAGCCUGGUCAUUACCUAGAUGGGUGACCGCUUGGGAAUACCAGGUACUGUAA